rnacentral:rRNA from 1 species
GACGUAGGGCGCGAGCGUUGUCCGGAUUUAUUGGGCGUAAAGGGCUCGUAGGCGGUUUGUCGCGUCGGGAGUGAAAACACACAGCUUAACUGUGUGCUUGCUUCCGAUACGGGCAGACUAGAGGUAUGCAGGGGAGAACGGAAUUCCUGGUGUAGCGGUGAAAUGCGCAGAUAUCAGGAGGAACACCGGUGGCGAAGGCGGUUCUCUGGGCCGUAACUGACGCUGAGGAGCGAAAGCGUGGGGAGCGAACAGG